rnacentral:rRNA from 1 species
ACUCCUACGGGAGGCAGCAGUGGGGAAUAUUGCACAAUGGGGGAAACCCUGAUGCAGCCAUGCCGCGUGUGUGAAGAAGGCCUUCGGUUGUAAAGCACUUUCAGUAGGGAGGAAGGUAGUGUAGUUAACACCUGCAUUAUUUGACGUUACCUACAGAAGAAGCACCGGCUAACUCCGUGCCAGCAGCCGCGGUAAUACGGAGGGGUGCGAGCGUUAAUCGGAAUUACUGGGCGUAAAGCGCAUGCAGGCGGCCUGUUAAGUCAGAUGUGAAAGCCCGGGGGCUUAACCUCGGAAUUGCAUUUGAAACUGGCAGGCUAGAGUCUUGUAGAGGGGGUAGAAUUUCAGGUGUAGCGUGAAAUGCGUAGAGAUCUGAAGGAAUACCGGUGGCGAAGGCGGCCCCUGGACAGAUACUGACACUCAGAUGCGAAAGGCUGGGGAGCAAACAGGAUUAGAUACCCUGGUAGACUGUCA